rnacentral:rRNA from 1 species
AACGCUAGCUACAGGCUUAACACAUGCAAGUCGAGGGGCAGCAUUGGAGUAGCAAUACUCAGAUGGCGACCGGCGCACGGGUGAGUAACACGUAUCCAACCUGCCGCUUACUCGGGGAUAGCCUUUCGAAAGAAAGAUUAAUACCCGAUGGUAUAAAGAGUUCGCAUGUUCUCUUUAUUAAAGAAUUUCGGUAAGCGAUGGGGAUGCGUUCCAUUAGAUAGUUGGCGGGGUAACGGCCCACCAAGUCUACGAUGGAUAGGGGUUCUGAGAGGAAGGUCCCCCACAUUGGAACUGAGACACGGUCCAAACUCCUACGGGAGGCAGCAGUGAGGAAUAUUGGUCAAUGGACGAGAGUCUGAACCAGCCAAAAGUAGCGUGAAGGAUGACUGCCCUAUGGGUUGUAAACUUCUUUUAUAAGGGAAUAAAGUGAGGGACGUGUCCCUUUUUGUAUGUACCUUAUGAAUAAGGAUCGGCUAACUCCGUGCCAGCCGCCGC